rnacentral:tRNA from 1 species
AAAAAGGUAAGCUAAUUUAAGCUCAAAGACUCAUAAUCUUUAUAUAGAAAUUUUAAUUUUCUUCUUUUUA